GUUGAUAAGAUCUACAUGGGAAGGAAGUACAUGAGAAGUACAUGGGAAAAGUGCCUCAGAGCAGGUAUACUAUGGGACUUAGUGUACCUGCAAAUUUACUUAGUAUACCUAGUAUUCCGUUGUCAGUAUUGUAGUCAAGCAGUUUGCGCAUGCGCACUAGUAUCUAAAUGAGUUAGAUACUGUUUUGUCGGUGUCCAUGUACCCUCGCUACGCUCGGGAUACUAAAUCAGUGCCUUUGGGCUUCUAAAUCCCAUAGACACCUCCAAAACAGUGUCUAACUAUUAUUUAGACACUAGUUGAUAAGAUCUACAUGGGAAGUACAUGGGAAAAGUGCCUCAGAGCAGGUAUACUAUGGGACUUAGUAUACCUGCAAAUUUACUAGUAUUCCGUUGUCAAGUAAUUGUAUUGUAGUCAAGCGGUUUACUAGACGCUGUUUUGUCGGUGUCCUCCAUGUGAUUUAGAAGCCCUCAGCCACUUUAGUACCCGUGCCUUUGGGCCCAUAGACACCUCCAAAACAGUGUCUAACUAUUAUGUAGUGCCCAAGGGUGGUAGAGAUAGUCCGAUUGAUUGUACUGCAAACAAUCUUAUCUUAUGUAUCUUCAUUUACCCCUUGUGUUUGCUAUAGAUGUACCAAACAGAACUUAACUUCCCAAAGGCGGAAGAGGCAGUGAGGAGAAAGCAGUUACUAAUCUUGCCUUCGUAAUACUACUUAUUAUUAUAUCCUUUGCUAUUCAGGUUAGCGAAACCCCUGCGACACCUAGAAAGGAAUCGGCUAUUGUGUUACUGUGAACCAAACUGACUUCGAUGUUGCAGUUAGCAAUAAGAACAAACUUUUUUUUUCCAACUUUCAAAAUUAUACUUUCUUUCUAUCAGACAGUAAAGAUGAUCACCGCACAACACAAUUCACUGCACAACACAAUGGCGAAGUCAAACUAAAGAGAUGCCCGUCACUUUUCUCUUCUGGAAUGUCUUGGACUCACCCCUGUGUAAAGAUGCCAUCCUCUUCAAGCAGUCGAAGUAGACAUGGUGGUUCUUUCCCCUUCAACCCCUUCAACUCGCCAACGUCCUCACCACAUGUUCCCCGAGACCACAUGUUCCCCGAGACCAACCUGACGGCUAUCCUUCUUCCCCGUGCUAUCUCCCAGUACCCACACUUUGAUCCCACGCUUGAUUGGCUUCAUAGGAGCGGACCGACCCUGAAAUUUGAUCAUUGCCUUGUCCACAGCAACAUUCUUUGAUGGAUUGUACAACUGCAGACUGAGGUGAUCAAUUAGAAGGCGGACUUUACCUAGCCUAUCAAACGUGGGACUUCCUCUUUGAGCGAGGUGUUGAUUGUUUACAAAGUGCAGGUACCGAGAGAUUUCCCUGAAGCGCUACCGAGGAAUCUUCAUCGCGAUGGGGGCAUAGUGAGUGAGAGGGUCUCUGCUCCAGUAAUCGUCAAACGAUGGUCUCCGUUGAAGAAGAGUUGAAAUAUUUGGAGUUGAAAUAUUUGGAGUGGGCAAUGGGCCAGUCUGAGAGGUGAAGGUGUUGAUUGUGGUGUUGAUUGUGACGCUUGUGAGAUUCUCGGACCAAUUGCGUUCAUCUUCGUCCUCAUCAUCGGACAAUAAUUAUGUCACCUCAUCCACAGUCAUUCUUCAAGUUUUAGAUGGUUAAAAGUUUUAGAUAGUUAGAAUUAAUUUGCAUGUAUUUAUAUUGUAUUGUUUAAUAUCUG